AAAACGGCCCUUUUCAGGGCCACCAAAAUUUUUGAGAAAAAGUAAU
rfam:Daphnia magna strain Xinb3 scaffold01581, whole genome shotgun sequence.